UAGGUGUUGGCCUUAGGGCCAGUGCUGCAGUUAACGCAUUAAGUAUGCCACCUGGGGAGUACGUCGGCAACGAUGAAACUCAAAGGAAUUGACGGGGGCCCGCACAAGCGGUGGAGCAUGUGGCUUAAUUCGAUGCAACGCGAGGAACCUUACCUGGGCUAAAUCCACAGUGAUGUCUUCUGGAAACAGGAGGUCCCUUAGGGGCACUAUGGAAGGUGCUGCAUGGCUGUCGUCAGCUCGUGCCGUGAGGUGUUGGGUUAAGUCCCGCGACGAGCGCAACCCCUGUGGUUAGUUACCAGCACGUAAUGGUGGGGACUCUAGCCAGACUGCCUACGCAAGUAGUGAGGAAGGUGGGGACGACGUCAAGUCAUCAUGGCCCUUACGUCCAGGGCUGCACACGUGCUACAAUGGUCGGUACAAUGGGUCGCCACCCAGCGAUGGGGCGCAAAUCCAUAAAACCGAUCUCAGUUCGGAUUGGAGUCUGCAACUCGACUCCAUGAAGUUGGAAUCGCUAGUAAUCGCGCAUCAGCAAUGGCGCGGUGAAUACGUUCCCGGGCCUUGUACACACCGCCCGUCAAGCGAUGGAAGUCAGGAGUACCUGAUGUCGGCGUGCCAACCUUCGGGGGGCAGCUGCCUAGGGUAAGCCUGGUAACUGGCGCUAAGUCGUAACAAGGUAACCGUAAAUCU
rnacentral:rRNA from 1 species